rnacentral:rRNA from 1 species
GAUGAACGCUGGCGGCGUGCUUAACACAUGCAAGUCGAACGAAGCACUUUAUUUGAUUUCCUUCGGGACUGAUUAUUUUGUGACUGAGUGGCGGACGGGUGAGUAACGCGUGGGUAACCUGCCUUGUACAGGGGGAUAACAGUUGGAAACGGCUGCUAAUACCGCAUAAGCGCACAGCAUCGCAUGAUGCAGUGUGAAAAACUCCGGUGGUAUAAGAUGGACCCGCGUUGGAUUAGCUAGUUGGUGAGGUAACGGCCCACCAAGGCGACGAUCCAUAGCCGACCUGAGAGGGUGACCGGCCACAUUGGGACUGAGACACGGCCCAAACUCCUACGGGAGGCAGCAGUGGGGAAUAUUGCACAAUGGGCGAAAGCCUGAUGCAGCGACGCCGCGUGAGCAAAGAAGUAUUUCGGUAUGUAAAGCUCUAUCAGCAGGGAAGAUAAUGACGGUACCUGACGAAGAAGCACCGGCUAAAUACGUG